AUACGUAGGGGGCGGGCGUUGUCCGGAAUGAUUGGGCGUAAAGGGCGCGUAGGCGGCCCGGUAAGUCUGGAGUGAAAGUCCUGUUUUUAAGAUGGGAAUUGCUUUGGAUACUGUCGGGCUUGAGUGCAGGAGAGGUAAGUGGAAUUCCCAGUGUAGCGGUGAAAUGCGUAGAGAUUGGGAGGAACACCAGUGGCGAAGGCGACUUACUGGACUGUAACUGACGCUGAGGCGCGAAAGUGUGGGGAGCAAACAGGAUUAGAUACCCUGGUAGUCCACACUGUAAACGAUGAAUGCUAGGUGUAGGGGGUAUCGACUCCCUCUGUGCCGCAGUUAACACAAUAAGUAUUCCGCCUGGGGAGUACGGCCGCAAGGUUGAAACUCAAAUGAAUUGGCGGGG
rnacentral:rRNA from 1 species